GAGACACCACCUUGCUAAGGAAAUUGGGGAGAUAAACUUUUAUCGCCUUACAAAGUGUCGGUGUAACAUAGAUAUUGUUAAGUUUCCAAGAAUUUUUAAAAAUAAUUAUUAAUUUCCUUCAUCCACAUAUAAAUAUCGAAUCAUAACGAAAAGAAGAAGUACAAAAAAAAUACCGAUAACUGGAAAACAAAACAAAAAAAGAGGAGAGAAAAGACACAGAAAAGACGAAAAAUUGAAGAAAACAGAAAAAAAAUGACGACAGUUAACUCUUUAACGGAUAUUCGUUUAUCUCGUUACUAUAUUUGAAAAAAAAGAGAGAUUUAAAUUUUUGAAUUUUUUGAAAUUUUAAAACGUCAGUCUGUUUCUUGACUUCGUGGUGUGAAAGUGUGUUUGUGAAGUUAUUUAAAAAAAAAGAGAAAAAAGAAAUUUAUGAGAGUGAUAUAGAAAAAAAAUCAAAUAAAGACAAAAAAAUAAAACAAACUAAAGGUCAAAGAAAGAAAAAAAAGGAGACAGAAGAAGACAAAGAAAAAGCAAAGAAACAAAAGAAAAACAAAGAAAACAGACAAACAAACAAAGAAAAUAAGAAAAGAAAACAGACAAACAAACAAAGAAAAUAAGAAAACAAAGAAAACAGACAGACAAACAAAGAAAAUAAGAAAACAAAGAAAACAGACAAACAAGCAAAGAAAAUAAGAAAAGAAAACAGACAAACAAACAAAGAAAAUAAGAAAAGAAAACAGACAAACAAACAAAGAAAAUAAGAAAACAAGGAAAAACAAACAAACAAAAUGAGUUCGACAAUAAAAGUGAACAUCACGAGUCGAAAAAAAAUCAAUUUUAUCGUAAAGAAAAGGGAAGAAGGGGAAGGAGAAGAAGAGGAGAGAGGAAGAGGAGGAAUAGGGAAAAUAGGAAAAAUAGGAGGAGGAGGAGGAGGAGGAUUUUUUACCUCCUCUCUCCUCCCUUCUUCUCUUCCUUCUUCCCUUAUUCCCUCUUUCGCCAAGAAGAAAGAGGGAGAUGGAAAGCGAAAGAUAGGAAUGAAGAGACACCGAUUAAGUAGCGUUUUCUCGCAGGAGGAAUUGAAGGAAGUGCAUAAGUUCGGCGAGCGCGGGUCCGGCCUCCGACCCCGCGGCGAAGUACAAGA